UCUGGCUGCUUCUGGAGACACUGCAGAUCCUCCACCCACCUCUCAGCUCAUUGAUUCUGUGUCUGCUCAUCCCCGCCACCCUGCUGAAGCUUGCCAGGUUUCUGUGUUCUGGAUUCACUAGGUGCUACAGCAGGAAACUAGACAAUGCUGUAUCCCAGCAUGCAGUCCUCCCGUGUACCUGGGACUACAGGCACACACCAUUAUGCAUGGCGCAUGCCUGUAGUCCCAGGUACAUGGGAGGCUGAGGCAGGAGAAUCACUUGAACCUGGAAAGCAGAGGUUGCAGUGAGCUGAGAUCACACCACUGCACUCCAGCCUGGGAGACAGAGCUAGACUCCAUCUAAAAAAAAAAAAAAAAAAGGCUGAAAAUAAAAAAGAAAGAAAAAGCUAUCCUCAUUAGAUCUGACUUUUUUGAGGGAAGAUCAGCUCCAGGGUCUUGGUGCAGACCUACAAGGCCUCUGUCUUGGCACUGGCAGCUCCACUGGGGACAUCCGAGCCAGCUGGCAGCAGCAGGAAUGAUGCUGGAAGAAGGAAGACAGUGACUGUGGAUCAGCAUGAGCUGAAAGGAGGAUCUUCUGGCUCACCCAUCUGGGAAGGGCGAAGAUGAAGUUGACCUCUGGAAAAGCCGGAUCCCAGGAUCCAAAUGAUAUCUUCAGGAGAACCAGAAGGCACUUUGCCGAGACCGAGAUUCAGCUGCAGGUCAAGCCUUUUCCUGCGUGGCUAUGUGCAAGGUUGCCAGUAAGGACAUGCCUUUCUCUUCCAGGAUUGCUAGGAUUGCAUCUUAACAAAGGUUUUUUCAGCACGUUGGAGAUAAUUGUGUGAUUUUCCUCCUUGAGUGUAUGAAUGUGGGUACAUGUGCAGAAUUUGCAAGAUAGUUGCGUAAGUACACACACGCCAUGGUGGUUUGCUGCCUUCAUCCCCCCAUCACCUACAUCAGGCAUUUCUC
rnacentral:lncRNA from 13 species